rfam:Nematostella vectensis strain CH2 x CH6 NEMVEscaffold_3738_Cont46083, whole genome shotgun sequence.
GUUGCGGUGGCCGAGGGGUUAAGCCGCUCGACUGGAAAUCAAAUGGGAUCUUCCCGCGUAGGCUCGAAUCCUACCCGCAACG